UAUACGACUUUUGAUAAAGAUCAUCAAGAUAAAGAGCUCCACAAAAAUCAUUUCAAUAGCCUUUGGAUAUUAUCAUCCACUAUAUUAGACUUUAAUCUUCGUUGCUUGAAGGCAUAAUAUCGUUCUCGCUAGUGCGACCAUAUUAGUUUCUGCAAACUAACCUUAAUUUUUCACCAUACUCAACAGUACAGGAAAUUCAUUAAGAACAGGUAGCACAUACCUCAGUGAUAUCUGAUCUGGCUAUGUAAAUAAAAGUUAAGUUUUGUACAUAAGCAAAAGGGUUCACAAUAGAAAAAAUGUCGUUUAUCGUACGGUACGGUUAAAAGUACAUUAACAUUACAUAUCCAGUUUUGGCUAAGAGAUGUAAUCUACCAAGACAGUUACAGCUAAGUCAUUUAUGUAUUUUUAAGUUACAGCUGCGCAUUUUUGGCUAUUUCCAGGUUGGGUUGAAGUAAAAAAAAAUUU